UUAAUGUUUUGUAUUGAUUCAGACACAAACUAUUCUGCAUAAAUGCGGCGCCGGAGCGCCGAAGCACAUUUUGCUUCCACAGGUUUGAAGGGUCGACGGCCCGAGGGCCAUUCGGUAAUGAUCCCUCCGCAGGUUCACCUACGGAGA
rnacentral:misc_RNA from 1 species